rnacentral:rRNA from 1 species
AGAACGAACGCUGGCGGCAGGCCUCAAACAUGCAAGUCUAAGGGGUGUAGCAAUACAUCACUGGCGGACGGGUGCGUAACGCGUGGGAAUGUACCUAUUGGUUCGGAACAACUGAGGGAAACUUCAGCUAAUACCGGAUGAGCCCGAAAGGGGAAAGAUUUCUCGCCAAUAGAUCAGCCCGCGUCCGAUUAGCUAGUUGGUGGGGUUAAAGCCUACCAAGGCGACGAUCGGUAGCUGUUCUGAGAGGAAGAUCAGCCACACUGGGACUGAGACACGGCCCAGACUCCUACGGGAGGCAGCAGUUGGGAAUCUUGGACAAUGGGGGAAACCCUGAUCCAGCCAUGCCGCGUGAGUGAUGAAGGCCUUCGGGUUGUAAAACUCUUUCGACGGGGACGAUAAUGACGGUACCGUAGAAGAAGCUCCGGCUAACUUCGUGCCAGCAGCCGC